CUACGGGCGGCUCCAGUGGGGAAUAUUGGACAAUGGGGGAAACCCUGAUCCAGCAAUGCCGCGUGUGUGAAGAAGGCCUGCGGGUUGUAAAGCACUUUCGGUUGGGAGGACUGCUUCUAGCACUAAUAUUGUUGGAAGUUGACGUUACCUUCAGAAGAAGCACCGGCUAACUCCAUGCCAGCAGCUGCGGUAAUACGGAGGGUGCAAGCAUUAAUCGGAUUUAUUGGGCGUAAAGAGCGCGUAGGCGGUUGGAUAAGUCGGAUUUGAAAUUCCAGAGCUCAACUUUGGAGCUGCAUUCGAAACUGUUCAGCUUGAGGAUAGACGGAGAAAACGGAAUUCCGCAUGUAGCGGUGAGAUGCGUAGAUAUGCGGAGGAACACCGGUGGCGAAAGCGGUUUUCUAGUUUAUACCUAACGCUGAGGCGCGAAAGCAAGGGGAGCAAACAGGAUUAGAUACCCCCGUAGUC
rnacentral:rRNA from 1 species